rnacentral:rRNA from 1 species
GCCUGUAAGACUGGGAUAACUCCGGGAAACCGGAGCUAAUACCGGAUAGUUCCUUGAACCGCAUGGUUCAAGGAUGAAAGACGGUUUCGGCUGUCACUUACAGAUGGACCCGCGGCGCAUUAGCUAGUUGGUGGGGUAAUGGCUCACCAAGGCGACGAUGCGUAGCCGACCUGAGAGGGUGAUCGGCCACACUGGGACUGAGACACGGCCCAGACUCCUACGGGAGGCAGCAGUAGGGAAUCUUCCGCAAUGGACGAAAGUCUGACGGAGCAACGCCGCGUGAGUGAUGAAGGUUUUCGGAUCGUAAAGCUCUGUUGUUAGGGAAGAACAAGUGCGAGAGUAACUGCUCGCACCUUGACGGUACCUAACCAGAAAGCCACGGCUAACUACGUGCCAGCAGCCGCGGUAAUACGUAGGUGGCAAGCGUUGUCCGGAAUUAUUGGGCGUAAAGGGCUCGCAGGCGGUUUCUUAAGUCUGAUGUGAAAGCCCCCGGCUCAACCGGGGAGGGUCAUUGGAAACUGGGAAACUUGAGUGCAGAAGAGGAGAGUGGAAUUCCACGUGUAGCGGUGAAAUGCGUAGAGAUGUGGAGGAACACCAGUGGCGAAGGCGACUCUCUGGUCUGUAACUGACGCUGAGGAGCGAAAGCGUGGGGAGCGAACAGGAUUAGAUACCCUGGUAGUCCACGCCGUAAACGAUGAGUGCUAAGUGUUAGGGGGUUUCCGCCCCUUAGUGCUGCAGCUAACGCAUUAA